rnacentral:rRNA from 1 species
UACGGAGGGUGCAAGCGUUAUCCGGAUUCACUGGGUUUAAAGGGUGCGUAGGUGGGCAGGUAAGUCAGUGGUGAAAUCUCCGGGCUUAACCCGGAAACUGCCAUUGAUACUAUUUGUCUUGAAUACUGUGGAGGUCAGCGGAAUAUGUCAUGUAGCGGUGAAAUGCUUAGAUAUGACAUAGAACACCAAUUGCGAAGGCAGCUGGCUACACAAAUAUUGACACUGAGGCUCGAAAGCGUGGGGAUCAAACAGG